rnacentral:tRNA from 1 species
UGCGGGAUCGUUCAAUGGUAGGACAGCAGACUUUGGAUCUGCAUAUCUAGGUCCGACUCCUAGUCCCGCAG